rnacentral:rRNA from 1 species
UACGUAGGGGGCAAGCGUUGUCCGGAUUUAUUGGGCGUAAAGAGCGUGUAGGCGGCUUGGUAGGUCCGCUGUGAAAACUCGAGGCUCAACCUCGAGAUGUCGGCGGAAACCACUUGGCUAGAGUCCGGAAGAGGAGAGUGGAAUUCCUGGUGUAGCGGUGAAAUGCGCAGAUAUCAGGAAGAACACCAAUGGCGAAGGCAGCUCUCUGGGACGGUACUGACGCUGAGACGCGGAAGCGUGGGGAGCGAACAGG